rnacentral:misc_RNA from 1 species
UUUAAAAGUCUCAGAAACACGCCCAUUGCUUUUCUUUCUGUUAUGUUGAUGCCCAUCUUUGUCACCAUCACCACUUGACCAGUCUUCAUCAGUUUCAUUUGAUGUGUUCUUAUUGUCAUCACGAUCUACAUUUCGAACACCAGUUCUCCAGUUGCUAUCCUGCUUUCUAGGCCGUCUUGAUCUCCUACCACGAUCUCUAUCUUUGCUUCUCCCUUCAAACCUAUCCACUGAUUCAUCAGAUUCUGCAUCAUUAGAUUUGUUUUUUCUCCGUUGGUCAUCUUUCGCCUUCUCAUAUUCUUCCUUGUCCAAACUUUGUUGAUUCUCAUGAAUUUUUUCCCUACGAGAGUGCCUGAUCCAUCUAUAGUCAUUUUCACUGUUGUUACUUCUCCUAGAGCCAUGGUCCAG